rnacentral:rRNA from 1 species
UGCCAGCCGCCGCGGUAAUACGGAGGGUGCAAGCGUUAAUCGGAAUUACUGGGCGUAAAGCGCGCGUAGGCGGCUUGUUAAGUCGGAUGUGAAAGCCCUGGGCUCAACCUGGGAAUUGCAUUCGAUACUGGCGAGCUAGAGUAUGGGAGAGGGUUGUGGAAUUCCACGUGUAGCGGUGAAAUGCGUAGAUAUGUGGAGGAACAUCAGUGGCGAAGGCGGCAGCCUGGCCCAAUACUGACGCUGAGGUGCGAAAGCGUGGGGAGCAAACAGGAUUAGAUA